CGCCUCCAUUCCUAAUCUGACUAUUUCCGCCUCCAUUCUCAAUCUCUCAGCCUCCAGCCGUGCUCCAGCCAUCCACGCCGCCUCCGCCCUCCAGCAGUGCAGCCGUCUACGCCGCCUCCACCCUCCAGCAGUUUAACAAAGCUCAUUCAAAGCUUAUGAGAAAAUCUAUGGGCAAAAGAUAUGGCCAAAGCUCAUCCCUUGGAAGUAUUGAAGACUUGGAAUGAAUUUACAUUGUUAUGUUCUAGAUUAAUUAGGUGUCAUGAAACUCUAUUUUUUAUGUUUUGGCCUAAAUAUUUAUUUUUGUUGUUUGAUGGAUGUAAUUAUGUUAUGGUUUUAUGAUUUCUAGUGUUAAUUUUCAGUUUUAA